GAAAGCUAGAGAGUUCCAGAAAGACAUCUACUUCUGCUUCAUUGACUAUGCAAAAGCCUUUGACUGUGGCAAAUUCUUAAAGAAAUGGGAGUGCCUGAUCACCUCAUCUGUCUCCUGAGAAAUCUCUAUGUGGGACAAGAAGCUACAGUUAGAACUGGAUAUGGAACAACUGAUUGGUUCAAAAUUGGAAAAGGAGUACGGCAAGGCUGUAUAUUGUCUCCCUGCUUAUUUAACUUACCGUAUAUGCAGAAUUCAUCAUGCGAAAGGCUGGGCUGGAUGAAUCCCAAGCCGGAAUUAAGAUCGCCGGAAGAAAUAUCAACAACCUCAGAUACGCAGAUGACACAACCUUGAUGGCAGAAAGUGAGGAGGAAUUAAAGAACCUUUUAAUGAGGGUGAAAGAGGAGAGCGCAAAAUAUGGUCUGAAGCUCAACAUCAAAAAACGAAGAUCAUGGCCACUGGGCCCAUCACCUCCUGGCAAAUAGAAGGGGAAGAAAUGGAGGCAGUGAGAGAUUUUACUUUCUUGGGCUCCAUGAUCACUGCAGAUGGUGACAGCAGUCAUGAAAUUAAAAGACGCCUGCUCCUUGGGAGAAAGGCAAUGGUAAACCUAGACAGCAUCUUAAAAAGCAGAGACAUCACCUUGCCAACAAAGGUCCGUAUAGUUAAAGCCAUGGUUUUCCCAGUAGUGAUGUAUGGAAGUGAGAGCUGGACCAUAAAGAAGGCUGAUCGCCGAAGAAUUGAUGCUUUUGAAUUAUGGUGCUGGAGGAGACUCUUGAGAGUCCCAUGGACUGCAAGAAGAUCAAACCUAUCCAUUCUUAAGGAAAUUAGCCCUGAGUGCUCACUGGAAGGACAGAGGCUCCAAUACUUUGGCCACCUCAUGAGAAGAGAAGACUCCCUGGAAAAGACCCUGAUGUUGGGGAAGAUGGAGGGCACAAGGAGAAGGGGACGACAGAGGACGAGAUGGUUGGACUGUGUCCUCGAAGCUACAAACAUGAGUCUGACCAAACUGCGGGAGGCAGUGGAAGACAGAAGUGCCUGGCGUGCUCUGGUCCAUGGGGUCACGAAGAGUCGGACACGACUAAACGACUAAACAACAACAACAACAAACAUGCUGAGGAAAAGCCGGGGUGUCCAUGCCACCACACCCACCCACCAAGGACCCCACCCCCUCAAAAAAAAUCAGCCUGAAGUAACUGUGCUAUUAUGUCUGUCAUAUUUUUUAGUUUUGGUAAAAUAGAUUGUAAAUUGCCUUGAAUGCACUGGCAGAAAGGCAGUGUAUAAAUAAGAAAACUGUAUUUUAAUUUAUUUUAAUUUUAAAAGCCAAUAAAAUAGCCAAUAAAAUAGGUUAAGGGGUCAACCAAAUGUAUCCUGGGAGAAUUUACUAUAUAAACAUGCAGGGUUAAAUUAAACUAAGACAUACUCAGAGCAGAUCCAUUGAAGUCAUGUCCGUUGAUUUCAAGGGUCUGCUCUGAGUAUGACUUAGAUAUUGGGUGGUGAGCCCGUCACCCUCCAGAUGUCAUCAGACCCCAACACCCAUCAGCCCUAGCUAGCAUGGCCAAUGGUCAAGGAUGAUGGGAAUUGUAGUCCAGCAACAUCUGGAGGGCCACAGGUCCCCCCCUGAUUUAGAUGGAUUUAAUCCAUAAUCUCUAUUUCAUAUAUUUGUUGUCUUCCCUUAUCAGCUGAUAAAUUCUUAGUAUUUUUCUGAUUUUGACAAUGUGUAUUGUAACAGCAAGGCCUGUUUAUUACAAUUCCUUGAGUAUAGUAUUCUCAAUAUUGGGUCUAACUGCAAGAAUAACUCUGACAUAUAACCAUUUUGCAACAAAAUGCUAUGCGCAAUAGAAUCUCCAUUAUACAGAAUAGAAUAAUUAAGUAUUCCUUCUCUGACUGUCCUCUAUAGGAUAUUGUAUGUGUUUCAGUCACUUGGUAUAAAUUAAUUAAAGUAAUCUAGACAUGACCCAGAAAUGCUGCUUACAAAUAUUUUUAAAAUAAAAAUAAUAGUUAUUCCGUGUUCUUCAGUACAUUGUUGAUUCUGGAACUCAAAUUCCAACUUUAUAAACAUGCGAGUGACAGAUAAUGACUUACAAAAUACAUCAUUCAGUAAUUAAUGAAAUAUAUGAGCAAAUUCUUUUUUAGCUUUGCUUUUUUAACUUUGCUACUGAUUUCAGAAGGGACCCACAUCAUCUGGCAGAAUAUUGAAUCUUCGUGGUAUGUUGUUCAGUCUUUCUCUAGCUGCCGUUUAUCGGGGGAAAUGGUGUUGCCGGGGGGGGGGUGGUAAGAGCAGUGAUCUUCAGAAAAAUGCCUCACAAUGCCAAAAGUCUGAACUACAAUUAUUCUUUUUCUAAAGUUCAGUGCAUUAUGUCCAGCCCAGUCGUUCCUGGCUCACAUUUGCAUGAACUCUAGCAUACACAAUGGAAGCAGCAUACGUUGCGCAUUCCGGGGAGAUGGGGAAUGGAGCUAAAUCAUUAGGACUCUUUGGAGUUGCCAGUUAUUCAGUUGGUUCCAGGUUUCUUGCUAUAGCAGCUAACAGGCUCACUAUCCUUUCUCAUUGCUUCUUAUGUUUCUUGAGAAACAGGGUCUUGACAACAGACUAUAUAUUCUUCAACAGAAUAGACAUGUUAAUUGAGAAAAUGUACCAAGUGGAAAAUUUACACCAACAGGCACUGUUUUCUACUUCUCUUAUCUUUAUUUGGCUGCUCUGUGCUCUCCAUAUAUGAGAGUUCUACAUAAUUUUUAUUUCUAUAAUUUAAUUUAUAUUUCCUAGUGCAUACCACUCUUCUUUCAGCCAAGUUGUUGCAUUCUGUAACCCACAUCAUCCUGCAUUUCAUCCAGUAUCAACCAUCUUGGACCCCUAUGAUCCAAGGUCUUGUUGAUGACACUGUCGUUGGGACUGCCUGGUUAGGGUUGAUCUGUCACAUGGUCUUUUUAGUUGCAGUUCCCUGUUUGUGGACUGCCCUCUCUAGUGAGAUGUGUCUGCCUUCCUCAGUACUGAUUUUCAGAAGAAAUGUAAAAUCAUUCUCAUGAUUUUCAGAAGAAAUGUAAAAUCAUUCUCAUUUUGGGAGGAAGGGUGGGGUAUAUAAAUCUUCUUCUUCUUCUUCUUCUUAACAACAAUAACAACAACGGUAAUUUAUGUUUACAACAACAGCAGUGAUUUAUGUUUCAAACAAUGACAACAGUGAUUUAUGUUUCAAAGCAAGAAUAAGUUUCAUUAUUGUGUUUCUCAAGCAUUGUACAAAAUCCUGGGCCAAAGUACAGAGCCAAAGGCUUUUCCUACCUUAGUGUUAAUGUUCCAAGUUGUGUCUCCUAGGUUAGAUCUACUCAUGCAGCGCAGUGAUUCUGUGGUGGUGCAGUCUUGAGCUGGUAGAAUGAACUGUACUGCUUCAGUCUGCAUGUAGGGAAAUUCCUCUUCCCAUAUGUAUAUACAAUUUGUGUGUUUAAUACACUGUAAAAGUUGUUUGAGUGUUAAAACAACAACCAC
rnacentral:lncRNA from 1 species